rnacentral:rRNA from 1 species
CCCAGUUCGGAUUGCAGUCUGCAACUCGAGUGCAUGAAGCUGGAAUCGCUAGUAAUCGCGGAUCAGAAUGCCGCGGUGAAUACGUUCCCGGGUCUUGUACACACCGCCCGUCACACCAUGGGAGUCGGGAAUGCCCGAAGCCGGUGGCCCAAUCUUUAUAGAAGGGAGCCGUCGAAGGCAGGCCGGAUGACUGGGGUGAAGUCGUAACAAGGUAAC